AUGGCUUUUUUCUUCCAACAAUGACCAACCUCUUUUUUUGUUUUUUUGUUUUUUUUGAGGCAGUGUUUCCCUGUGUAUCCCUGGCUGUCCUGGAGCUCACUCUGUAGACUAGGCUGGCCUUGAACUCAGAAAUCUGCCUGCCUCUGCCUCCCAAGUGCUGGGAUUAAAGGCGUGCGCCACCACUACCUCGCUAAUGCCCAACCUUAAGUUUCUACUUAAACUCCGAAAACAGUGCUACACUCUAGGGACCUAAACUUCAACACCUGAGCUGGAAGGGACAUUUAAUAAUGGAAUCAUAACAGUACCAUGUGGGAUUCAUUUCAGAACCCCAGAGUAUACCAAAAUCCAACAAUAAUUUCUCUAUUGCAAAGCCUUUACAACUUCAAGGAAUGUAAAUUUUCUCUAAUUUACUUAUAAUCUAAAAUAUUUGUGCCAUGUAAAAUGUAUUACACUGUACUUUUGUAAUAUUUACAAAAAAAAAAUCUGUGUACAUUCAAUAUAGGGUCUUCCUUCCUUCCUUCCUUCCUUCCAUACAUCCUUUUUCUGUUCCUCCCUCUCCUUUUCAUUAAUCCUUUCCUUACUUGUUUUUAUUUUUUUCAAAUAAUUAUUUCAUUUUGUAAUAGUUUUCAUUGAGAUAGAAUAUUCACAUGUCCCUCCUCUUUCCUUCUUCCAGUCCUUCCUCUCUAUUAAAUCACUCUCAUGUACCCCACAUCUCAAGUUGAUAGCCUCUUUAUCUUUGAUUAUUAUUGUAAACUGUGUGUGUGUGUACGUGUGUGCACGUGUGUGUGUGUGUGUGUGUGUGUGUGUGUGUAUGUGAAUGUAAGUAUGUAUGUAUAUGGACAAACACACAUACAUAUACAUGCAUACAGAGAGAGAGAGAGAGAGAGAGAGAGAGAGAGAGAGAGAGAGACAUACAUGCGUAUGUGUGUAUGUAUGAAUACACAACAUGCUGAGUCCAUAUUUGGUGAUGGUAUGUAUUUGGUUUCAAUAGUGACCAUUCUGCAUAUUCUUUCUUUUGAAUUUUCAGUUAGGUUUGGGGCAGGAUUACUCUGAAUAUAAGAGCUGGCCUUGAAUUCACUAUGGAGUCCAGACAUACCUUGAAUUUCAGAUUCUCCUGUCUCUGCCUCCUGAAUAUCUGGGAUUAUAUGUAUAAUAUGAUUAUUUUUAAUAAGAACUAUUAUUUUUUAUCCAUAUUUGGUUGACUCUUGGUAAAGAACCUCUAAAUGUGUAGCUGACUGUAGAUCCAUCUGUUCUGAUGGCACAUGGCACUUUGAGAAUAUCAAAUCUAUUGUAAAUUUCACCAGAGCUCAAGAUUAGACAGGAAUUUUAAUAGAUUCACUGUUGUUUAACAUAGGUGUAUUAGUCAGGGUUCUCUAGAGUCACAGAACUUAUGGAAUGUCUCUUUAUAUUAUGGGAAUUUGUUGUGAUGAGUUACAGUCUGUAGUCCAACUUACCCAACAAUGGUCAGCUGUGAAUAGGAAAUCCAAGAAUCUAGCAGUUGCUCAGUCCCAUGAGGCUGGGUGUUUCAGCUGGUCUUCUGUAGAAGUAGGUUCCAACAAAUGUGCUGGCAAGUAAGUGCAAGCAGGCAAAGAAAAGCAAAUCUUCCUUCUUCAGAUGUACUUACAUAGGUCUCCAGCAGAGGGUGUGGCCCAGAUUAAAGGUGUAUACCACCACACCUGGAUCUGGGGCUUGUUUUGUCCUAGACUGAUCUUGAACUCAGAGAUCUCCUUGCCUUAGCCACCUGGGAUUAAAGGCAUGUACUACCUUGCCUGGGCCUAAGCUUUUCAUAGCCACCAUUGCCUCAAGAUCUGGAUCACAGGUGAGCCUUCCAAUUCUGGAUUGUAGUUCAUUCCAGAUAUAGUCAAGGUGACAACCAGGAAUAGCCAUUACAAUUAGUCAGGUUGUAAAGCAGAGGAACACAUCUAAAGCUGACGGUAUUCUUUAAGUGGAUUUUGUCCAUUGGGAUGGUCAUAGGAUAAGUCUAUACUGAUUCCAACAGCAUCAUUGGUGCUUAAAUAAUUAUGGGUCUCUUAGGAAAUGCUGACAUGGUGCAGAGCCAUAGAAGGUUAGUCUCAUGCUCUUUGUUAUACCAAAGUCUAUCUCUAAGGUUUACUGCCCAUCAACUUAUAUGUCUUCAUUCUUAUUUUUUUAUAUUUAACUGACACAUUUUUGCUGUUUUAAACCUCAAAAGUUAAUUCCUUAAAGAAAAAAAAAUCCAACAUCAACAACAAAACAUGUGGCUCUUGAUAGCACAGCAGAGCUGUGCAAAGCAUGUGCUUCCCUUAGCAGAUUUGUUUGCUAUAGAAAAUCCGUUUGGGUGUAAAACUGGGUCCAAUUUCUGUCUUAGUAGUCUAUAGGAGAAGAACUAAAUCUAGACUUUAGUCUUUGUCAGUCUCUUCAAAAGGAACUCUAUUGUUUACUAUGUGUCAUUGGGUUCUGAACUAUCUACCUCUCAGCUUUGAAGUGAUAAUGUGGAAAGUGCCAGUCAGAUGAGGGAAAGAGUGGUUGCAACUUAUUGCCAUUCUGAGCUCAUUCAGAUGAUGUCAUACAUCAUGCUACUGUUGUCAGGGUGACUUUACAGUUCCUGGUGACACAACUCAACUGUAGAACACCUUCCAUGGAGACAUAAAGUCCCCAGAGUCCAGUCAUCAGCAACACAUGUUUUGUGUGUGAAUGUAUGUGUACAUAUGUGUAUACAUAAUUGGAACCUUAUUUAGAUCGUUGAUAUAACUAAUACAGGGAUAUUAACUUUUAUCAAAUAGAAGCAAACAGGUAUAUAGUGACUUUUCCUGACAUUUUAAAAAAAUAAAGUGAACAGUCUUCACUGUUAGUGACUAGUCAAAAAGGGGUUUCAAGGUCAGGCAAAGUACAUAAAGAAGAAAUAAAGAAAAAAAGGAAGAAAAGAG
rnacentral:lncRNA from 1 species